rnacentral:lncRNA from 1 species
UAUACCUUGGUUAAAUUUUAUACUAGCCAAUAAGAACAAAUGCUUCAAUUAAUUAUAAUUCAAUUAAUUUUUAUCCAAUUAAUUAUAUAUAUAAUUAUAAUUAAUUAUAAGUAGCUCGACUCGCCCUUAUAUAUAUACUAAUAUAUAUAUAUAUCAAUUCUUAUAACUAGUUUAUCUAAAUGUUCUCAAUUAUUCAAAUUAGUUGUUGUUCAUCAAAAUAGGUCAUUCUCAACCUAGCUCGUAUAUGAUAUAUGAAUCAAUUCAUUCAAAUUUUCAAUUUAAUUGACUAAUGAUCACUAAGUUUAGAAUUUAUACCAAAAUAGGAAAUUGGUCUUAGAGCAUACCAAUUGAAAUUCAAGCGACGAUUCCACGAUCCUUGCGAAGAGAGGAACAUUCUGUCCCUGGUGCCUCGCCGGAGACUCGCCGGACCGCCGCCGCCGCCGCCGUCCACGGUGGCCGGAAAAGUUGGGGCCACCCAGAAUUGACCCUUCUUCACGCCACCCCACUCAAAUUUCAUCGAGGAGUCCGUUUUUGAUGUCGGUUGUGCGAGGUUGGCCCUCCAUUUGGCUGAAUUAGUCCGACAGUAGCUUGGUGCCGCCAUUAAUGGUGAUUUCGCCAUUUCAAGCUUUGUAGCCGGAAUUAAUGGAGGAGAAACACUCACAAGGUGGAGGUGACUCGAUCGACGCCUGCCUUUCGUGUUGACGUUGCCGGCAUUGCUCGAUCUCGUCGGAGAUCGAAGAAGGAGAAUUGUCGAUGGAGACAGUCCCGCUUCGCGUCACUGGAGACUCUGCCAGUGUGGAAGGAGGUCGGAAAACGGACCAGGAGCUCUAGCGGAGACGAUCGCCAUCUCGCUCUCGUCGAGCGGUGGCCGGAAACGGAGGGAGAGGGUGGAGGGAGGCUGUCGC